GAACCAGAAGAUAAGUUCUGAGUUCAUAUCUUCUCCCUCCGUAUAUUUCUUUCCCUCCGGAAACCUAACUACCCGAAGAAGAAGAAGAAGGUAUCGAGAAAACCUAAGAGGAGAUCGGAGAAGAAGAAGAUAUCAAAUUAAAGUUUACUUGAAGUGAUGUCUAUUCCAAGCAAAAAUUGGAUGGGUGCAGAACGACAGUCAGCUGAAUUUCGGGAAGGAGUUCAAUCAUUUAUCAGGAAAAUUAGGAGAGGCGGAAGUUCAACACCAGUAAGCGUCUCAAUAAUGGCUCGUGAUAAAAUUUAUCAUUACUUGAUUUUGAGUGGAAUUUUUU